UACGGAGGGGGCUAGCGUUGUUCGGAAUUACUGGGCGUAAAGCGCACGUAGGCGGACUGUUAAGUCGGGGGUGAAAUCCUGGGGCUUAACUCCGAAACUGCAUUCGAUACUGCCGUGCUUGAGGACUGGAGAGGAGACUGGAAUUUACGGUGUAGCGGUGAAAUGCGUAGAUAUCGUAAGGAAGACCAGUGGCGAAGGCGGGUCUCUGGACAGUUCCUGACGCUGAGGCACGAAGGCCAGGGGAGCAAACGGG
rnacentral:rRNA from 1 species